ACACCUGUUGGACAUUAAUUAGUCAGAACUCCCUCCACCUGCCAGCCUCCCUACAUAAACCUCCCUGCCGGUCUGUCAUCAGACUCCACUCACUCCUCGCCUGUCAACCUGGUUUGCCCCUGCUUGCUGUUAGAAUCCUGCCACCUCUGUGUCUCAAGAGCUUCUAGUGAGGGCUCUGCAGCCACUGGGUCUCCUGCCUCCUCUAGCUCCAGCACCCAUCCACAACCUCCUGUUCAGUUGAGACUCCGUUACUUAUUCUACUGUUCGUCCUCUUUUCAAUAAACUCUUUAAACCUAG